rnacentral:rRNA from 1 species
AGCGAACGCUGGCGGCAGGCUUAACACAUGCAAGUCGAGCGGGCAUCUUCGGAUGUCAGCGGCAGACGGGUGAGUAACACGUGGGAACGUACCCUUCGGUUCGGAACAACUCUGGGAAACUGGAGCUAAUACCGGAUACGCCCUUAUGGGGAAAGGUUUACUGCCGAAGGAUCGGCCCGCGUCUGAUUAGCUAGUUGGUGGGGUAACGGCCUACCAAGGCGACGAUCAGUAGCUGGUCUGAGAGGAUGAUCAGCCACACUGGGACUGAGACACGGCCCAGACUCCUACGGGAGGCAGCAGUGGGGAAUAUUGGACAAUGGGCGCAAGCCUGACCCAGCCAUGCCGCGUGAGUGAUGAAGGCCUUAGGGUUGUAAAGCUCUUUUGUCCGGGACGAUAAUGACGGUACCGGAAGAAUAAGCCCCGGCUAACUUCGUG